AGGGUUAAAGUUUUUAAAACAUCUAAGUUGCAAUUAGAAAUAACAAAUAAUAUGUUAACCUGA
rnacentral:tRNA from 1 species